GCGCAGGUGGCGGAACUGGCAGACGCGCACGCCUCAGGAGCGUGUGGACGCAAGUCCUUGUGGGUUCGACUCCCAUCCUGCGCA
rnacentral:tRNA from 1 species